ensembl:lncRNA
CGGGGCCCUCCCGGAGCGCGGCGGCCGCGGACCGAGUGCGCUUCGGAAGGCGACGCGCACGGAACGCGACCUCGGCGGGCGCGGGGCGAUCUCUCCUCCAUCGGCCCCGACAUCGGCAGCUCGGAAGGGGAAACGGAGCGGGCACGAACGUUUCUCAGGUGGCCGGCAACUCGUGCACUGAGGCACCAGAACAGAGAAGGACGUGCCUUAGAAUUACAGAAUCGUUUGAGUUGGAAGAGACCCUGAAAGGCCAUCUAGUCCAGCUCCCUCGCAACAAACAGGGACACCUACAGCUCCAUCAGGUGCUCUCAGCCCCGUCCAGCCUGACCUUGAGUGCCUCCAGUAGCCGAGUCCUACUUGGGGAGAGCAUCACGUUACAAUGUCCCCGCUUCUUCUCCCGACAUACACGGAGACACAAAUCCCGCAGCCUCUGGGCUCUGCCCAGGGUUCCGCUGGGAGACGGCAACGGCACAAACGGAGCUCCCCCCGAGGAGCGGCUGCAGGUCGGGGGGAGCCGCCUCCUGGCUGCACCCGGGCUGUGCCAUCAACGAAUGCCGGCGUGCCCCGUGCAGCUCGCUUCUUCUGCGGGAAAAUCUCGUCUGCUUCCGACUCUAUUUCCUAAAUGACGCCCAUCUCUUUCCGAGGAGAGGAACCGAAUGAUCAAACGUGGGGAGCGUGCGGAUGUCCUGCCGGCAGAGGGGAUUUUCGUCGCACCGACUGGGCAAACCCUCAGCAAAUGAGCUCGGAGGGCUUUAAUAGCGGGCGGCGGUGCCCUUCUCCGCUCACAGUCCUUAUAUGGGGAAAAGCCGUGUCCCUGGGGCCGGGAGCCCCGAGCACCAACAUUCCUAUGGACGUUUACAGCCGAAGCGCAGAGCCGCCGGAGCGCUGCCG